GACGAACGCUGGCGGCGUGCUUAACACAUGCAAGUCGAACGGAAAGGCCCUGCUUGCAGGGUACUCGAGUGGCGAACGGGUGAGUAACACGUGGGUGAUCUGCCCUGCACUUCGGGAUAAGCCUGGGAAACUGGGUCUAAUACCGGAUAGGAGCCAUUUUUAGUGUGAUGGUUGGAAAGUUUUUUCGGUGUAGGAUGAGCUGGCGGCCUAUCAGCUUGUUGGUGGGGUAAUGGCCUACCAAGGCGGCGACGGGUAGCCGGCCUGGGGGGGUGGGCGGCCACAUUGGGACUGAGGUGAGGCCCAAGCGCCGACGGGAGGCAGCAGGGGGGAAGAUUGCACAAUGGGCGCCAGCCGGAUGCAGCGGCGCCGCGGGGGGGAUGACGGCCUUCGGGUUGUAAACUCCUUUCGCUAGGGACGAAGCUUUUUGUGACGGUACCUAGAGAAGAAGCACCGGCUAACUACGUG
rnacentral:rRNA from 1 species